CCUACGGGUGGCAGCAGUGGGGGAUAUUGCACAAUGGGGGGAACCCUGAUGCAGCGACGCCGCGUGGGUGAAGGAGCGUUUCGGCGCGUAAAGCCCUAUCGGCAGGGAAGAUGAUGACGGUAUCUGACGAAGAAGCCCCGGCUAACUACGUGCCAGCAGCCGCGGUAAUACGUAGGGGGCAAGCGUUAUCCGGAUUGACUGGGCGUAAAGGGCGCGCAGACGGGAAAGCAAGCCAGGAGUGAAAGCCUGUGGCUGAACCCCGGGACUGCACUUGAAACUGCAAGGCUAGAGUAGAGGAGGGGCAGGCGGAAUUCUUGGUGUAGCGGUGAAAUGCGUAGAGAUUAGGAGGAACACUGGUGGCGAAGGCGGCCUGCUGGACUGUGACUGACGUUGAGGCCCGAAAGCGUGGGGAGCAAACAGGAUUAGAUACCCCAGUAGUC
rnacentral:rRNA from 1 species